rnacentral:rRNA from 1 species
GACGAACGCUGGCGGCGUGCUUAACACAUGCAAGUCGAACGGAAAGGCCCUGCUUUUGUGGGGUUCUCGAGUGGCGAACGCGUGAGUAACACGUGAGUAACCUGCCCUUGACUUUGGGAUAACUUCAGGAAACUGGGGCUACUACCGUAUAGGAUCUCCUGCUGCAUGGUGGGGGUUGGAAAGUUUCGGCGGUUGGGGAUGGACUCGCGGCUUAUCAGCUUGUUGGUGGGGUAGUGGCUUACCAAGGCUUUGACGGGUAGCCGGCCUGAGAGGGUGACCGGCCACAUUGGGACUGAGAUACGGCCCAGACUCCUACGGGAGGCAGCAGUGGGGAAUAUUGCACAAUGGGCGGAAGCCUGAUGCAGCAACGCCGCGUGCGGGAUGACGGCCUUCGGGUUGUAAACCGCUUUCGCCUGUGACGAAGCGUGAGUGACGGUAAUGGGUAAAGAAGCACCGGCUAACUACGUG